UAGUUCUUCUACUGUUCUCAUAACUUUCGCUAACUUAAGCAUCAGAGAAUCCCCCAUCAGAUAACUUCCGACAAGUAGACUUCAUUUUGUAGGCCUCAUUUCUCAUAUGGGAGCCAGUACACUUACUCGGCAUCCACCUGGCAAUCUCAUCGAAGUCCAGUGGCAAUAGAUUGGCACAUCAAGUAUAGAGAGUAUAAGAGAUUUAUCCCCUAAAAAGAACCAUAGUCAGAAUGAUAGCCC
rnacentral:lncRNA from 1 species